AUGAAUAAACUUGGUCGAGCUGUUGCUGGUCCUUCGGGGCAUGUGCACGCUUGCCACUUUUAUAACCACCUGUGCACCCUUUGUAGACUGGAAACGUUUUCUCGAGGCAACUCGGAUUGAGGACUGUUGUGCGAAAGCCAGCUGUUCUUGUGUUUCUUAGUCUAUGUUUUUCAUAUACUCCAAAUGUAUGUAUCUGAAUGUAUUGCUAGGCCUUAGUGCCUUUAAAACAAAUA
rnacentral:misc_RNA from 2 species